AUUCCAUUAUGUGGGCAUCUCCUUUGAAAUUCCUUAAAUCGUUCCCUUGCAUCAUACCAAGACUCCCCAUCAAGUUGAUGGAAGUUGUUAAUCUGUCCUCUAAUUCU